rnacentral:rRNA from 1 species
UACGGAGGGUGCGAGCGUUGUCCGGAAUCACUGGGCGUAAAGGGCGCGUAGGUGGCGCUGCAAGUCGGUGGUGAAAGCUCGUCGCUUAACGACGAGUCGGCCAUCGAAACUGCAGGGCUGGAGCACUGUAGGGGCAGAUGGAAUUCCCGGUGUAGUGGUGAAAUGCGUAGAUAUCGGGAGGAACACCAGUGGCGAAGGCGAUCUUCUGGACCAUUUCUGACGCUCAGACGCGACAGCUAGGGUAGCAAACGGG